GAUGAACGCUAGCUACAGGCUUAACACAUGCAAGUCGAGGGGAAACGACAUCGAAAGCUUGCUUUUGAUGGGCGUCGACCGGCGCACGGGUGAGUAACGCGUAUCCAACCUGCCCAUCACUUGGGAAUAACCUUGCGAAAGUAAGACUAAUACCCAAUGACAUCCCACGAAGACGUCUGAAUGGGAUUAAAGAUUUAUCGGUGAUGGAUGGGGAUGCGUCUGAUUAGCUUGUUGGCGGGGUAACGGCCCACCAAGGCAACGAUCAGUAGGGGUUCUGAGAGGAAGGUCCCCCACAUUGGAACUGAGACACGGUCCAAACUCCUACGGGAGGCAGCAGUGAGGAAUAUUGGUCAAUGGGCGAGAGCCUGAACCAGCCAAGUAGCGUGCAGGAUGACGGCCCUAUGGGUUGUAAACUGCUUUUAUAAGGGAAUAAAGUGGGUCUCGUGAGACUUUUUGCAUGUACCUGAUGAAUAAGGACCGGCUAAUUCCGUG
rnacentral:rRNA from 1 species